GAUGAACGCUGGCGGCGUGCCUAAUACAUGCAAGUCGAACGCUGGAAAUCUAGCUUGCUAGAUUGAAGGAGUGGCGAACGGGUGAGUAAUACAUAAGCAACCUACCCACGAAGACUGGGAUAAUCUCUGGAAACGGGGACUAAUACCGGAUAGGUAAUCGGAAGGCAUCUUCUGAUUAUUAAAGGUUAAAAACACUGGUGGAUGGGCUUAUGGCGCAUUAGUUAGUUGGUGAGGUAACGGCCCACCAAGACGAUGAUGCGUAGCCGGCCUGAGAGGGUGAACGGCCACAUUGGGACUGAGACACGGCCCAGACUCCUACGGGAGGCAGCAGUAGGGAAUGUUCGGCAAUGGGGGAAACCCUGACCGAGCAACGCCGCGUGAGUGAUGACGGCCUUCGGGUUGUAAAGCUCUGUUGUAAGGGAAGAACGGUAGAUAGAGAAUAUCUAAAUGACGGUACCUGACCAGAAAGCCACGGCUAACUACGUG
rnacentral:rRNA from 1 species